UACGGAGGGUGCAAGCGUUGUCCGGAUUUAUUGGGUUUAAAGGGUGCGUAGGCGGCUUUUUAAGUCAGUGGUGAAAUACAGCAGCUCAACUGUUGAGGUGCCAUUGAUACUGAGAGGCUUGAGUACAGAUGAGGUAGGCGGAAUUUAUGGUGUAGCGGUGAAAUGCAUAGAUACCAUAAAGAACACCGAUUGCGAAGGCAGCUAACGAAGCUGUAACUGACGCUGAGGCUCGAAAGUGCGGGGAUCAAACAGG
rnacentral:rRNA from 1 species